GGCGAUAUUAGCCCCAUGCUCCUCUCUUACACCAUUGAAUUGCAGUACAAGCAGUUCAAGUGGCGGCUACUGAAGAAAGCAUCUCAAGUUCUCUAUUUACAUUUUGCUUUGAAGAGACGUGCAUUUAUUGAGGAAUUUCAUGACAAACAAGAGCAGGUUAAGGAAUGGCUCCACAGCUUAGGAAUAGUAGAUCAUCAUGUAGCAGUUGUGCAGGAUGCUGAUGAACCUGAUGAUGGUGCAGUUCCUUUGCAUCAAGAAGAAAGUGUUAGAAACAGAAAUGUCCCCUCCAUUGCUGCUUUGCCAAUCCUCCGUCCAGCAUUAGGAGGGCAGCAGGC
rnacentral:misc_RNA from 1 species